UACGUAGGGUGCAAGCGUUAAUCGGAAUACUGGGCGUAAAGCGUGCGCAGGCGGUGAUGUAAGACAGAUGUGAAAUCCCCGGGCUCAACCUGGGAACUGCAUUUGUGACUGCAUUGCUGGAGUGCGGCAGAGGGGGAUGGAAUUCCGCGUGUAGCAGUGAAAUGCGUAGAUAUGCGGAGGAACACCGAUGGCGAAGGCAAUCCCCUGGGCCUGCACUGACGCUCAUGCACGAAAGCGUGGGGAGCAAACAGG
rnacentral:rRNA from 1 species